GGGUGACAUCGUACCUUUUGUAUAAUGGGUCAGCGACUUAGUCUGGCGAGCAAGCUUAAGCCGAUAGGUGGAGGCGUAGCGAAAGCGAGUCUGAACAGGGCGUUCAGUUCGUCGGAUUAGACCCGAAACCGAGUGAUCUAGCCAUGAGCAGGUUGAAGGUGCGGUAACACGCACUGAAGGACCGAACCCAUAUCUGUUGCAAUAGAUCGGGAUGACUUGUGGCUAGGGGUGAAAGGCCAAUCAAACUCGGAAAUAGCUGGUUCUCCGCGAAAUCUAUUUAGGUAGAGCGUCGGAUGAACACUCCAGGGGGUAGAGCACUGAAUGGGCUAGGGGGUCUCACCGACUUACCAAACCUAAUCAAACUCCGAAUACCUGGAAGUGCUAUCCGGCAGACACACGGCGGGUGCUAACGUCCGUCGUGGAGAGGGAAACAACCCUGACCACCAUCUAAGGUCCCCAAGUUAUGGCUAAGUGGGAAAGGAUGUGAAGACUCCAAAACAACCAGGAUGUUGGCUUAGAAGCAGCCAUCAUUUAAAGAAAGCGUAACAGCUCACUGGUCUAAUCAAGAGUCUUUGCGCCGAAAAUGUACCGGGGCUCAAGCCAUACACCGAAGCUGUGGGCUCGUCUUUGACGAGCGGUAGCGGAGCGUUCCGUAGGCCUGUGAAGGCGGACCCGUGAGGGCUGCUGGAGGUAUCGGAAGUGCGAAUGCUGACAUGAGUAACGAUAAAGGGAGUGAGAGACUCCCUCGCCGAAAGUCCAAGGGUUCCUGCUUAAAGUUAAUCUGAGCAGGGUUAGCCGGCCCCUAAGGCGAGGCCGAAAGGCGUAGUCGAUGGGAACCACGUUAAUAAUCGUGGGCCUGGUGGAGAGUGACGGAUCUCGUGUAUCGUACGGUCUUAUUGGAUUGAUCGUGCGGUGAAGAGGUUCCAGGAAAUAGCCCCACCGUAUAGACCGUACCCGAAACCGACACAGGUGGACUGGUAGAGUAUACCAAGGCGCUUGAGAGAACUAUGUUGAAGGAACUCGGCAAAUUGCACGCGUAACUUCGGAAGAAGCGUGACCCCCAUUUACGCAAGUAGGUGGGGGUGGCACAGACCAGGGGGUAGCGACUGUUUAUCAAAAACACAGGGCUCUGCGAAGUCGCAAGACGACGUAUAGGGUCUGACGCCUGCCCGGUGCUGGAAGGUUAAGAGGAGGGGUGCAAGCUCUGAAUCGAAGCCCCAGUAAACGGCGGCCGUAACUAUAACGGUCCUAAGGUAGCGAAAUUCCUUGUCGGGUAAGUUCCGACCUGCACGAAUGGCGUAACGACUUCCCCGCUGUCUCCAACAUAGACUCAGUGAAAUUGAAUUCCCCGUGAAGAUGCGGGGUUCCUGCGGUCAGACGGAAAGACCCCGUGCACCUUUACUAUAGCUUUACACUGGCAUUCGUGUCGGCAUGUGUAGGAUAGGUGGUAGGCUUUGAAGCGUGGGCGCCAGCUCGCGUGGAGCCAUCCUUGAAAUACCACCCUUAUCGUCAUGGAUGUCUAACCGCGGUCCGUCAUCCGGGAUCCGGGACAGUGUAUGGUGGGUAGUUUGACUGGGGCGGUCGCCUCCUAAAGAGUAACGGAGGCGCGCGAUGGUGGGCUCAGACCGGUCGGAAAUCGGUCGUCGAGUGCAAUGGCAUAAGCCCGCCUGACUGCGAGACAGACAAGUCGAGCAGAGACGAAAGUCGGUCAUAGUGAUCCGGUGGUCCCGCGUGGAAGGGCCAUCGCUCAACGGAUAAAAGGUACGCCGGGGAUAACAGGCUGAUGACCCCCAAGAGUCCAUAUCGACGGGGUUGUUUGGCACCUCGAUGUCGGCUCAUCGCAUCCUGGGGCUGGAGCAGGUCCCAAGGGUUUGGGCUGUUCGCCAAUUAAAGCGGUACGUGAGCUGGGUUCAGAACGUCGUGAGACAGUUCGGUCCCUAUCUGCCGUGGGUGCAGGAGAAUUGACAGGAUCUGACCCUAGUACGAGAGGACCGGGUUGGACGUACCUCUGGUGGACCUGUUGUGGCGCCAGCCGCAGUGCAGGGUAGCUAUGUACGGUCGGGAUAACCGCUGAAGGCAUCUAAGCGGGAAACCCACCUGAAAACGAGUUCUCCCUAUCAGAGCCGUGGUAGACCACCACGUUGAUAGGCCGGGUGUGGACGUGCGGCAACGCAUGAAGCUUACCGGUACUAAUCGCUCGAUCGGCUUGAUCAUUCU
rnacentral:rRNA from 1 species